AAUCUUGCACAAUGGGGGAAACCCUGAUGCAGCGACGCCGCGUGAGCGAUGAAGCCCUUCGGGGUGUAAAGCUCUUUCGGCAGGGAAGAUAAUGACGGUACCUGCAGAAGCAGCUGCGGCUAACUACGUGCCAGCAGCCGCGGUAAUACGUAGGCAGCAAGCGUUGUUCGGAGUUACUGGGCGUAAAGGGUGUGUAGGCGGUUGGUUAAGUUUGGUGUGAAAUCUCCCGGCUCAACUGGGAGGGUGCGCCGAAUACUGAAUGACUCGAGUACGGGAGAGGAAAGUGGAAUUCCUGUGUAGCGGUGAAAUGCGUAGAUAUCAGGAGGAACACCGGUGGUGUAGACGGCUUUCUGGACCGUAACUGACGCUGAGACACGAAAGCGUGGGUAGCAAACAGGAUUAGAUACCCUGGUAGUCCACGCCCUAAACGAUGCAUAUUUGGUGUGGGCAGUCAUUCUGUCCGUGCCGGAGCUAACGCG
rnacentral:rRNA from 1 species